UACGUAGGGCGCAAGCGUUGUCCGGAAUUAUUGGGCGUAAAGAGCUCGUAGGCGGCUUGUCACGUCGGAUGUGAAAGCCCGGGGCUUAACCCCGGGUCUGCAUUCGAUACGGGCAGGCUAGAGUGUGGUAGGGGAGAUCGGAAUUCCUGGUGUAGCGGUGAAAUGCGCAGAUAUCAGGAGGAACACCGGUGGCGAAGGCGGAUCUCUGGGCCAUUACUGACGCUGAGGAGCGAAAGCGUGGGGAGCAAACAGG
rnacentral:rRNA from 1 species